UACACUCCUACGGGAGGCAGCAGUGGGGAAUUUUGGACAAUGGGCGAAAGCCUGAUCCAGCAAUGCCGCGUGAGUGAAGAAGGCCUUCGGGUUGUAAAGCUCUUUUGUCAGGGAAGAAACGGUGAAAGCUAAUAUCUUUUGUUAAUGACGGUACCUGAAGAAUAAGCACCGGCUAACUACGUGCCAGCAGCCGCGGUAAUACGUAGGGUGCAAGCGUUAAUCGGAAUUACUGGGCGUAAAGCGUGCGCAGGCGGUUUUGUAAGUCUGAUGUGAAAUCCCCGGGCUCAACCUGGGAAUUGCAUUGGAGACUGCAAGGCUAGAAUCUGGCAGAGGGGGGUAGAAUUCCACGUGUAGCAGUGAAAUGCGUAGAUAUGUGGAGGAACACCGAUGGCGAAGGCAGCCCCCUGGGUCAAGAUUGACGCUCAUGCACGAAAGCGUGGGGAGCAAACAGGAUUAGAAACCCGAGUAGUCCC
rnacentral:rRNA from 1 species